AGUGAACGCUGGCGGUAGGCCUAACACAUGCAAGUCGAACGGCAGCACAGUAAGAGCUUGCUCUUACGGGUGGCGAGUGGCGGACGGGUGAGGAAUACAUCGGAAUCUACUUUUUCGUGGGGGAUAACGUAGGGAAACUUACGCUAAUACCGCAUACGACCUACGGGUGAAAGCAGGGGAUCUUCGGACCUUGCGCGAUUGAAUGAGCCGAUGUCGGAUUAGCUAGUUGGCGGGGUAAAGGCCCACCAAGGCGACGAUCCGUAGCUGGUCUGAGAGGAUGAGCAGCCACACUGGAACUGAGACACGGUCCAGACGCCUACGGGAGGCAGCAGUGGGGAAUAUUGGACAAUGGGCGCAAGCCUGAUCCAGCCAUACCGCGUGGGUGAAGAAGGCCUUCGGGUUGUAAAGCCUUUUUGUUGGGAAAGAAAAGCAGCAGGUUAAUACCCCGCUGUUCUGACGGUACCCAAAAAAUAAGCACCGGCUAACUUCGUG
rnacentral:rRNA from 1 species